rnacentral:rRNA from 1 species
GAUGAACGCUGGCGGCGUGCCUAAUACAUGCAAGUCGAACGCUGGAGAUCUAGCUUGCUAGAUCGAAGGAGUGGCGAACGGGUGAGUAAUACAUAAGCAACCUACCCACGAAGACUGGGAUAAUCUCUGGAAACGGGGACUAAUACCGGAUAGGUAAUCGGAAGGCCUCUUCUGGUUAUUAAAGGUUAAAAACACUGGUGGAUGGGCUUAUGGCGCAUUAGUUAGUUGGUGAGGUAACGGCCCACCAAGACGAUGAUGCGUAGCCGGCCUGAGAGGGUGAACGGCCACAUUGGGACUGAGACACGGCCCAGACUCCUACGGGAGGCAGCAGUAGGGAAUUUUCGGCAAUGGGGGCAACCCUGACCGAGCAACGCCGCGUGAGUGAAGACGGCCUUCGGGUUGUAAAGCUCUGUUGUAAGGGAAGAACGGUAGAUAGAGAAUAUCUAAGUGACG